AACGAACGCUGGCGGCGCGCUUAACACAUGCAAGUCGAACGAGAAGGCGUAGCAAUACGCUUGUACAGUGGCGAACGGGUGAGUAAUACGUGGGCGACCGUACCCUCGAGUGGGGAACUAACCCGCCGAAAGGCGGGCUAAUGCCGCGUACGCUUCCAUCUUUAUGGAGGUGGAAGGAAAGCCGUGCCGUGGGCACGGCGCUCAAGGAUGGGCUCACGUCCUAUCAGCUUGUUGGAGGGUAACGGCCUACCAAGGCUCCGACGGGUAGCUGGUCUGAGAGGACGAUCAGCC
rnacentral:rRNA from 1 species